AUAAUCAGUUGGCUUAUAAUUGAAGUCUGGAAUGAACGGGAAUUCGGGGUGAUACUGUCUUAAAUUAAUUAAUAGAAAUUACUUAAUAAGUGAAAAUUCUUAUAGAAAGUAAAUAGACGAGAAGACCCUAGAAAUUUUUACCAAAGAUAACUAAAAUUCUUUUUGUUGGGGCGACAAGGUAACAUAAAACUUACCCGAAUUCUAUGGGAACUUUAUAAAUAGCGCAAUUAAAUUACUCUAGGGAUAACAGCAUAAUUUGUUAGAGUUUGUGACCUCGAUGUUGGACUAGGGAGUGUUUUACUUAAAAGGUAAAAUAAUUGGCUCUGUUCGAGCUUUCACCCUACAUGAUC
rnacentral:rRNA from 1 species